CUUGAACGCUGGCGGCAGGCCUAACACAUGCAAGUCGAACGAGUGGCGCACGUGUGAGUCAUGUCUGGGAAACUGCCUGAUGGAGGGGGCUAACUCCUGGAACCGGUAGCUAAUACCGCAUACCAUCGGAUGUGCCCAGAUGGGAUUAGCUAGUAGGUGGGGUAAAGGCUCACCUAGGCCACGAUCCCUAGCUGGUCUGAGAGGAGGACCAGCCACACGGGAACUGAGACACGGUCCAGACGCCUACGGGAGGCAGCAGUAGGGAAUAUUGCACAAUGGGCGCAAGCCGGAUGCAGCCAUGCCGCGUGUAUGAAGAAGGCCUUCGGGUGGUAAAGUACUGUCAGCAGGGAGGCGGUACCCGCAGAAGAAGCACCGGCUAACUCCGUGCCAGCCGCCGCGGUAAUAC
rnacentral:rRNA from 1 species